AUACGUAGGGGGCGAGCGUUGUCCGGAAUGACUGGGCGUAAAGGGCGUGUAGGCGGCUUUAUAAGUCUGGAGUGAAAGUCCUGCUUUCAAGGUGGGAAUUGCUUUGGAGACUGUAGAGCUUGAGUGCGGAAGAGGUAAGUGGAAUUCCCAGUGUAGCGGUGAAAUGCGUAGAGAUUGGGAGGAACACCAGUGGCGAAGGCGACUUACUGGGCCGUAACUGACGCUGAGGCGCGAAAGCGUGGGGAGCGAACAGGAUUAGAUACCCUGGUAGUCCACGCUGUAAACGAUGAAUGCUAGGUGUAGCGGGUAUCGACCCCUGCUGUGCCGCAGUAAACACAAUAAGCAUUCCGCCUGGGGAGUACGGCCGCAAGGUUGAAACUCAAAGGAAUUGACGGGG
rnacentral:rRNA from 1 species